AACCAUAGAAACCUGCGGAGUACCUGCGGAAGGAUCAUUACCUAGAGUUUGUAGACUUCGGUCUGCUACCUCUUACCCAUGUCUUUUGAGUACCUUCGUUUCCUCGGCGGGUCCGCCCGCCGAUUGGACAACAUUCAAACCCUUUGCAGUUGCAAUCAGCGUCUGAAAAAACAUAAUAGUUACAACUUUCAACAAUGGAUCU
rnacentral:misc_RNA from 1 species